AACGAACGCUGGCGGCAGGCCUAACACAUGCAAGUCGAGCGAGGACUUCGGUCCUAGCGGCGGACAGGUGAGUAACGCGUGGGAACGUGCCCUUUGCUUCGGAAUAGCCCUGGGAAACUGGGAGUAAUACCGGAUGAGCCCUUUGGGGGAAAGAUUUAUCGGCGAAGGAUCGGCCCGCGUUGGAUUAGGUAGUUGGUGGGGUAAUGGCCUACCAAGCCGACGAUCCAUAGCUGGUUUGAGAGGAUGAUCAGCCACACUGGGACUGAGACACGGCCCAGACUCCUACGGGAGGCAGCAGUGGGGAAUCUUAGACAAUGGGGGAAACCCUGAUCGAGCCAUGCCGCGUGAGCGAUGAAGGCCUUAGGGUUGUAAAGCUCUUUCAGCUGGGAAGAUAAUGACGGUACCAGCAGAAGAAGCCCCGGCUAACUCCGUG
rnacentral:rRNA from 1 species